rnacentral:rRNA from 1 species
GCUGGCGGCAUGCCUAAUACAUGCAAGUCGAACGGUAACAGGUCGCUGUGAUCCCUUCGGGGUGAACUUGAUGCUGACGAGUGGCGGACGGGUGAGUAAUGCUUGGGAAUCUGCCCAGUAGUGGGGGACAACACGGGGAAACUCGUGCUAAUACCGCAUACGUCCCCUUGUUUGGUUACAAGGGGAGAAAGUGGGGGAUCUUCGGACCUCACGCUAUUGGAUGAGCCCAAGUCGGAUUAGCUUGUUGGUAGGGUAACGGCUUACCAAGGCGACGAUCCGUAGCUGGUCUGAGAGGACGAUCAGCCACACUGGGACUGAGACACGGCCCAGACUCCUACGGGAGGCAGCAGUAGGGAAUAUUGGACAAUGGGCGCAAGCCUGAUCCAGCCAUGCCGCGUGUGUGAAGAAGGCCUUCGGGUUGUAAAGCACUUUCAGUGGGGAAGAAAAGCCUGGGGUUAAUACCCCCGAGUCUUGACGGUACCCACAGAAGAAGCACCGGCUAAUUCCGUG